GGGAGUGUAGCUCAGUGGUAGAGCAUUUGCCUAGCAUGCACAAGGUCCUGGGUUCAAUCUCCAGCACCA
rnacentral:tRNA from 1 species